GACCUAGUGGUGAAAGGCCACACCUGCUCUUAGUUGGAAAAGCCACGAAGCAGGAGGUCUCGGUUCGAAUCCGGGUUAGGUUA